ACGCGGCCGCAAGGUGAUCGGCCUGACCUCAGCCGGUAAUACCGGCUUCGUGACGUCGCUCGGAUGUUACGACGAGGUCGUCACCUAUGACCGCGUG
rnacentral:tRNA from 1 species